AUCUAACUGACGAGUCCCAUGUGGGAUGAAACGCGUGUCCUAAAU
rnacentral:hammerhead_ribozyme from 1 species